GCCCCCAUCGUCUAGCGGUCCAGGACACCUCUCUUUCACGGAGGGGGCGGGGAUUCGACUUCCCCUGGGGGUA
rnacentral:tRNA from 1 species